UUUCUUCCUGGCAAAGAUACCUUCUAUACUGUGGGUUUAGCUGCUACUUGUUGGGCCAUCUGGCUGGCGCUUAAUCGUGCUACCUUUGCGAAAAAACAGAUUAAGACUCCUUUUGAGAUUGUUUUCUCCCUUUGUUCGUUUCUUUUGUACUGGACAGGUUUACAGAAAGGAGAGGCGGCUGGAGAACUUCGCGCAGGUGCAGAGAUGAUCAGGAACGGCACGCUGCAGCUGAUGAAACUGUGUGACUCCGUCAAGCAAUCGAUCUAG
rnacentral:rRNA from 1 species